rnacentral:rRNA from 1 species
UACGGGGGGUGCGAGCGUUGUCCGGAAUCACUGGGCGUAAAGGGCGCGUAGGCGGCUUUGUAAGUUAGGGGUGAAAUCCCGGAGCUCAACUCCGGAACUGCCUCUAAGACUGCAUCGCUUGAAUCCGGGAGAGGUGAGUGGAAUUCCGAGUGUAGAGGUGAAAUUCGUAGAUAUUCGGAAGGACACCAGUGGCGAAGGCGGCUCAGCUGGACCGGUA